CCAGCGCUAGUGAGUCAGAGUAACAAAACACCAAAACUAGAAAGUAGAAGGGUUGAUAAAGCGGAAGAAAAAUGGCUGAAUCUAAGAAACCUCUGAGUUUAUGGCAACGGAUAGCAAGAUUUUUCAAGAUGGUGUGGCUACAGUAUCAGAUUGUGUCUGCUACCUACAUGAUGGAGGAUUGGGAAGCCAGAAUAUACAAUACAACAGUAUUGAUAGUGUUUUGCACGGCUGCCUACACCACCUACCUGUACCUCCCCUCCCACAUUAUGAUGAUCGUCACUUAUCUGGGCUAUUUGUUUGGAUCAUCAGAUGAUGCAGCAUCAUCGGUGCAAGAAACAGCGCAGAUGGGACAGGCAGCGGCUACCUAACGGAUGUUCAACCGCACAGUGAAGUUGAGGCGCUAGUGUUGUGAGAUAGAAGCAAGGUCAAAGGUCACAUUGGACACAGGGCAACUUUUGGGCACAGGAUGACCUUUGACCAACAGAACAGACGAUCUACAAAAUGUAGUCAACUAUCUCAACUUCUUCAUUUCUGUCUUCUGUCUGUGUUGGGCUCUUGGCAGCCAAAAGUGGCCAUCAUAUGCCUUUUUUUUUAUUUUGUGACUAAUCGUCAGCUUUUAUGGAGAAAUAAUCAAGAUUUCAGGAGAGAAAACCUCCUCAGUGAUUCGUGCUAAAACUAAAACCACAUGAAUUGCAUGAAGUUGAAACUUUUACACGGUCUCAUUUUGUAUUUAAAAAUACAUGUAUACUCUGUUGUCCAUAGCUUUCUUAUUCCUUGUUGAUAAUGUGGGUGUGUUUAGGAAUGGUUCAGUUGAAGCCCUUUACUUUGAGAAGUUGUCUUUCUAAAUUUUUACACUACGGUAACCGCUCUGAAUCCUUCAAAAUCCUCUGUGCCAAAGUGGAGGAAUUUGGAGGAUUGGGGUUACAUG